GAUUUGACUAGAUUCAAAGUGAGGACGUUGACUCGGUGACUCCCCGACGGCCAUCUUGGUGUUUUGGUUUUCGUUUCAGAGAAAUUGUGUCGAUUUUCACUGUUAUUGGCAGUGGUCAUGUACGGCAGCAGCUAUGGCGGUUUCGGCGGUGGGUUCGGCGGCGGCCGAAUGGGGAUGAAGAGCAGCCAGCCGGGCGGCAACCUGCGCCGGCCCGACUGGUCCUCCAUCAAACUGACCCCGUUCCAGAAGGACUUUUACCAGCCGCUGCCGCACGUGCUGGCGCGCAGUCAGUCGGAGGUGGACGCGUUCCGUCAGCGCAGUGAGAUCACGGUGCGCGGCACGGUGGUGCCGCAGCCGCUGAUGGAGUUCCAGGACUGCGCCAUGCCAGACUACAUCAUGAACACCAUCCGGGCGAACGGUUUCCAGCACCCGACCCCGAUUCAGGCUCAGGGCUGGCCGAUCGCCCUCUCCGGCCGCGACAUGGUCGGUAUCGCCCAGACCGGCUCCGGCAAAACGCUGGCCUACAUGUUGCCGGCCAUCAUCCACAUCAACCAUCAGGACUACCUGCGGCCGGGCGACGGACCGGUGGCUCUGGUGCUGGCACCCACCCGUGAGCUGGCCCAGCAGAUCUCUGAGGUGGCCAGCGAGUUCGGUCGCUCCUCCAAGCUGCGGCACACCUGUGUGUACGGCGGAGCGCCCAAGGGAGGACAGCUGCGUGACCUGGAGCGCGGCGUGGAGAUCGUGAUCGCCACUCCGGGCCGGCUGAUUGACUUUCUGGAGAUGGGCAAGACCAACCUGCGUCGCUGCACCUAUCUGGUGCUGGACGAGGCCGACAGGAUGCUGGACAUGGGUUUCGAGCCGCAGAUUAGGAAGAUUGUGGAGCAGAUCCGACCCGACAGGCAGACGCUCAUGUGGAGCGCCACGUGGCCCAAGGAGGUGCGUCGUCUUGCCGAGGAGUUCCUGACCGACUACACCCAGCUAAACGUGGGCUCCCUGGACCUGGCCGCCAACCACAACAUCCUGCAGAUCGUCGACGUCUGUGAGAGCCACGAGAAGUUCCAGAAACUGUUCCGCCUACUCGAGGAAAUCAUGGCCGAGAAGGAGAACAAGACCAUCAUCUUCACCGAGACGAAGCGCGGCUCGGACGAGCUGACCCGCCAGAUGCGCCGCGAGGGAUGGCCGGGGAUGUGUAUCCACGGCGACAAGUCACAGCAGGAGCGCGACUGGGUGCUGCGGGAGUUCCGCAGCGGCCGCUCGCCCAUCCUCGUCGCCACUGAUGUGGCUGCGCGCGGCCUGGGUGGGGGUGGCAGGGAGGAAUCGGUCGCUCGCAGUCUGCCGCCGCCUGAGUCGCCACCGUAGGCGCCCGCUUCAGUGACGUCACGGACGUCAAGUUCGUCAUCAACUUCGACUACCCCAACAACUCUGAGGACUACAUCCACCGGAUCGGGCGCACGGCUCGCAGCCACAACACGGGCACCGCCUACACGUUCUUUACGGCUGAGAACGCGGCCAAGGCACGCGAUCUGAUCUCGGUGCUGCGUGAGGCCAAUCAGGUGGUCAACCCGAAACUGAUCGAGCUGCAGAACUCGAGCCGUGGAUACGGAGGACGCAGCCGGUACGGCGGUGGCCGCGGGUACGGUGGUGGUGGUGGACGCCGCUCCGGAGGACGCUGGUAAACCCUCCAGCCAGUGCAACCACUGGCAGAAGAGCCACUCGAAAACCUGUGGAAGAAGUGGGACAAACACACGGUCCUUGACAUGUACAACGUAUGACGAGGACUGACGCUCCCGAAGGCUGGCAGUCUGAAUUGCUGGGAGUGGUCCAGAAGAGCUAUGUGGCUGGAGCAGGAGGUUCGUAAUGAGUAGGUGAAAUGAGCCUCAGAACAUCAUUUCGGCUUAAAUAUUGCUUCUUCAUUUGGUAAUGAGUAAGUCAUAGUGUAGGAUUGCUUUCAGUAAUAAUUCAAGCUAAAGCUUUGAUCGAUCUCAUUUCGAUUUUAUCCAUUUAAAACUUGCAUUAAAAUGUGAAUCAAUUUGGCAAAAUUUUGGAAUCAUUGGCUUUUAACAUCAUACUAUGCACUACACAACGACCGUUGUGUUUUGAACGAGUUUUCCCCUUGGUGUAAGAUGAGUCCGCGUCGCCAUCUAAUGGUGGAUCUCCGCGGCCCUCGUCCCCGGCUGCCAGGCCGGUGGACUGUAAAUACCGUUAACGCCAGAACGCGUGAGCUGAGCGCCUGAACGAGUACGCACGGAGCAGUGCGGAAAGGAGUGCGUGGCGCGUGCCCUUGGGUGGUGGACGGCCUCAAACGCAUACAAAGAGGCGCAGUGUACAAAUGAAACUGAGGUCUAGUACGUAAUUGGCCCUGCUUGCGGGCCCCGCGGCGAUUCUAUGUGUGUUGUGUGAUCUUAGCUUGCCCGUUGAAAGGUAUUUGCGGGUGCAUUCCUCGGCCUGGGCUCAAAAAUUACCCCCGGGAUGACCUUGACCAUGGCUCUCUCGCAGCUUACCUACCUUUGGCGAAGGGCGAUCGUCGCACGAUCAUCUUCUUGGGGCUAGGAAAUUGUAACGUCAGGCUACGCUCUAGGUGUUCUUUAAAGUGGGGAUGGUGUCGGUUGCUGGACCGUUUCGGGAGGUUCGCUAAAGCUAUCACCAGUGUAUUUGUGUAAGCGUCUUUACGCGAGACUGCCCCCAUAGUUAGGCGUCUUGCAGUGUAGUGUGGCGCGCACGCGAGCUUGAAUUUAUUUAGAUUUAUGCGAUAUUAUCUGCCGACUUGUAAUCCUGUUACCCCCGUAGUUAUUUCGGCCUUGGACGUUUUCGGGAAUGCUAAGGUGCAGGCUUGAUGUCGAGAGGCCCGGCUCCGUUCCCAGAUGUUGGGACGGGAUUGGUGCGCCCGCUCCAUAUGCUUUGUUGGCUAUCUGUAGCGGCUUUAGCGACUGCUGCGUUUUGUGAGGAAAUAAACGUUCUUAUAAAUUA
rnacentral:misc_RNA from 1 species